UGAAUUCCCAACAUGAUUGCAUAUUACUGAAAGCAGUAAGAAAGAAGCAUCAACCAACCAACCUGUGUGCCUCAGUGAGUCUCUGACACAUUAUCCAGGACUGCCCUGAGCAUUGCCAGAUGCUUAGCAUCCUGGGUGCACCUGUUAACACCAAGUGUGGCUAACCCCUCUCCCCAGUCAUUGUGACAAUCAAACACAUCCACCCAACCUCUGCCUGCCAUUUUGAUAUACCCAUAAGGCCCUCAUGUGAAAAAUCAUUGAAUUAGUUUGACUAGUAAUUUUUUUUUGUUUGUUUAGAAAUGUCUUCCCCAAUGACAGGGGACUUGGCCAGCUAUGAACCAUUGGUACAACUGACCCCAUGGCCUGUUUUUGUAUGGCCCUGAAGGUAAUGUUCACCACUCAACAAGCAAUGACCAAGUAUCCAGCAUGCUGCCAGGCGGUGGUGAUAGAGUGAUGGCUACCCACGAGGGAGGGGCUUGCCACUCUCCACAUCUCACACAGAAGGAAACCAGGAUCUUCUCAGAGGUGGAAGAACUUGCCCAAGGAAAUUGUGCUGCAGGUGAAUGUGCUCAGUUGCCUUAGUCCUGUUCAACGCUUUGUGAUCCCAUGGACUGCAUCCCGCCAGGCUCCUCUGUCCAUGGGAUUGUCCAGGCGAGAAUACUG